rnacentral:rRNA from 1 species
AUGGAGCCAAAAAUUAUAGACUUCGGUGUAUCAAGACUUCUUGACAAAGAACAAACUAUUUGCACUUCAUCUCGUGAUGGAACACUGUGUGUUGAUGUCAUGCAUUACCUUUUCUUUUUGGGUCCAGAUGAGCCCGGGCUCGGAAUUGGAUAUUCGAAUCAGGUAGCUCUAAUCUGCAUGAACUUUGAGCGUGCAGAAAGGCCUCGAAUGAUGAAAAUUAUCAAUAUGCUUCAAGGUCUGGAAAGUAUUGACUUUGACAUUACAAAUGUGGAGACAUCAUCUGGAUGUUUUGGAAGUACGGAUUUUGGUAUGCCGAAAAAAUUGAUGAAGUUACGUUGCCAAGAGCUUCAGAUAGCUCGUAGAGAUUUUAGCAACAUUGUUGGCUCUGUAGUCUGCAAAGGAACAAUCAAGGAUGGGCCUGAGGUUUCUAUUAUACAAUUAUGUGCCCGUGAAGAUCAUUGGACUAGCCAACAUGAACUUUUAUACCAAAAAGAAAGUGACCCAUUUUACAGGAUGGUUGUCUUUGAAUGCACAUCAAAUGGGACCCUAUAUGAGCACGUACACCAUGGGAAAGCAGCUCAAUUAUCUUGGGACAGACGAAUGAAAAUAGCUAUCAGUAUUGCCAAAGGUUUAAGGUAUUUGCACAGUGAGCUGCAACCUCCAUCCACUAUAUCGAAGUUGAACUCCAAGUCAGUUUAUGUUACAGAAGAUUUUACUCCCAAGCAUUCGAAGAUGCUCGGCCACUUGAAUAAUGAAUCCUCUUUCCCUGGUCACCUGGACUUUUUGAAGGACAUGCCUAGUGAAGUCCAAUGCAAUUCAUUUGCUUUUGGAGUGAUUUUGCUGGAGAUCAUUAGUGGACAGCUUCCUUACUGCAAGGACAACGGAUAUUUGGUUCACUGGGCUAUCAAGUACCUCCAGCAGCCGAAGGAGAUCAGUAAGCUGGUCGACCCGGAGCUGACCAACGUGAGACCUGAGGAGCUUGCUGUGAUCUGCAACGUGGUGAGACGAGGCCUCGAACCCCGCCGUUCUCAGAGACUGUCAUUGCAGACCAUCGCAGGGGAUCUAGAGAAUGGCAUUGGCUUAUCCUUAACUCUAAUGACCGGCAAACACGGAGGCGUCACCACUGCCCCCCAUGACAUUCACCACACAAACUGUCCAACACAAUCAAACACAGAACAUGGUGCAACAUCAUGUCAGGAAGGGAGCAGCACUGCAUCUCUGAGCCCCCACACGACUAAGCCACACGGAAUUGCAUGGCGGCCAAGCAUUAUGCGAGGAUCUGAGAUAAACCCAAAACGCCGGCUCGCCAACUUUAGCAAGCGAUUUAUAAAUAGAGCCAAGGAGGUGAGAAGCCAGCGUGCAAGAAAUCAGUGUUAG